CAGCAGCCGCGGGAAUACGAAGGGUGCAAGCGUUAAUCGGAAUUACUGGGCGUAAAGCGUGCGUAGGCGGUUUGUUAAGUCUGUUGUGAAAUCCCCGGGCUCAACCUGGGAAUGGCAAUGGAUACUGGCAAGCUAGAGUGUGUCAGAGGAUGGUGGAAUUCCCGGUGUAGCGGUGAAAUGCGUAGAGAUCGGGAGGAACAUCAGUGGCGAAGGCGGCCAUCUGGGACAACACUGACGCUGAGGCACGAAAGCGUGGGGAGCAAACAGGAUUAGAUACCCCUGUAGUCCCUGUCUCUUAUAA
rnacentral:rRNA from 1 species